UGUUGAGCUUUAAUCUUAAUGAACAUCUUUCAUAUAUUAAUAAAUUUAUUUUGCUCACUAAAGAUUUUAAUUGGGGCGAUUAAGGAACAACUAUCAGCUUCCUGAACUUACUUAAAAAUAUUUAUAAAUUAAAUCGAUCCAACAAUGUUGAUCAACAAAAUGAGUUACCACAGGGAUAACAGCGC
rnacentral:rRNA from 1 species